UACGGGAGGCAGCAGUGGGGAAUAUUGCACAAUGGGCGAAAGCCUGAUGCAGCUAUGCCGCGUGUAUGAAGAAGGCCUUAGGGUUGUAAAGUACUUUCAUCGGGGAGGAAAAAACAAAACUAAUAAUUUUAUUUCUUGACGUUACCUGAAAAAGAAGCACCGGCUAACUCCGUGCCAGCAGCCGCGGUAAUACGGAGGGUGCUAGCGUUAAUCAGAAUUACUGGGCGUAAAGAGCACGUAGGUGGUUUUUUUAAGUCAGAUGUGAAAUCCCUGGGCUUAACCUAGGAACUGCAUUUUGAAACUGAAAUACUAGAGUAUCGUAGAGGGAGGUAGAAUUCUAGGUGUAGCGGUGAAAUGCGUAGAUAUCUGGAGGAAUACCUGUGGCGAAAGCGGCCUCCUAAACGAAUACUGACACUGAGGUGCGAAAGCGUGGGGAGCAAACAGGGAUUAGAUACC
rnacentral:rRNA from 1 species